rnacentral:lncRNA from 1 species
UGCACUACUUAAACAAACCAAACAACCGGUACUUAAAAAGACAACAGAAAAGGACAGUAGGAGACCCAAGGCACAAAAAUUCAUAAUUCAGUUUUGAGGAGAAAUACAUGUUGAUGGAU